rnacentral:rRNA from 1 species
GAUGAACGCUGGCGGCGUGCCUAAUACAUGCAAGUCGAACGCGCAGCGAGAGGUGCUUGCACCUUUCAAGCGAGUGGCGAACGGGUGAGUAACACGUGGAUAACCUGCCUCAAGGCUGGGGAUAACAUUUGGAAACAGAUGCUAAUACCGAAUAAAACUUAGUAUCGCAUGAUGUCAAGUUAAAAGGCGCUACGGCGUCACCUAGAGAUGGAUCCGCGGUGCAUUAGUUAGUUGGUGGGGUAAAGGCUUACCAAGACGAUGAUGCAUAGCCGAGUUGAGGGACUGAUCGGCCACAUUGGGACUGAGAAACGGCCCAAACUCCUACGGGAGGCUGCAGUAGGGAAUCUUCCACAAUGGGCGCAAGCCUGAUGGAGCAACGCCGCGUGUGUGAUGAAGGCUUUCGGGUCGUAAAGCACAGUUGUAUGGGAAGAAAUGCUAAAAUAGGGAAUGAUUUUAGUUUGACGGUACCAUACCAGAAAGGGACGGCUAAAUACGUGCCAGCAGCCGCCGUAA